rnacentral:piRNA from 1 species
UNCUCAGUUCCAGGCCUCUGCCACGAUA